rnacentral:rRNA from 1 species
GGAAUAUUGGACAAUGGGGGGAACCCUGAUCCAGCGACGCCGCGUGGGUGAAGAAGGCCUGCGGGUUGUAAAGCCCUUUCGGUGGGGAAGAAAAGCCUCGACCUAAUACGUCGGGGUCUUGACCUAACCCACAAAGGCAGCACCGGCUCACUCCGUGCCAGCAGCCGCGGUAAUACAGAGGGUGCGAGCGUUAAUCGGAAUUACUGGGCGUAAAGCGCGCGUAGGUGGUUCAGUAAGUUGGAUGUGAAAUCCCCGGGCUCAACCUGGGAACUGCAUCCAAAACUGCUGAACUAGAGUACGGUAGAGGGUGGUGGAAUUUCCUGUGUAGCGGUGAAAUGCGUAGAUAUAGGAAGGAACACCAGUGGCGAAGGCGACCACCUGGACUGAUACUGACACUGAGGUGCGAAAGCGUGGGGAGCAAAC